UGGAAGGCAAGGAACCUUCAUUUCAUUUGUAACAAAAAUGAGCUCGUUAACAGCAGAGGAUGCUGGUUCUGCUGACUUGUGGCUUCUGUCCCAAACUGAUCUGGGGGAAAAAAAGAAAAUUUCCUGCCAACUAGAGAAAAUUUCAUUUUGGAAACAACAAACAUUGUAUUCUGUGUUCCCUGGUUCCUGCAGCUUCUCAGUGAAAAUGGCAUUUGACAGCCCUUGUGAUUAUAUAACAGCUCUCAAGAGGAAGCUGCUAACAAGCCCAUCUGAUAUUUUGUGCCAGCUGUUUCAGUGGAGGCGUGUUGGACUAGACUGAACUCCGCCUUCUUUGACAAGCAGAGCAUUUGGAAAGUGACAGAGCGUGAAGAAAAAGGGAAUUCAAAAUCUGGCUGAGUUUUCUCUUGGGCCAGUUUGUUCUUCUAUAUCCACUGACAAGUGGGCUGUUGCAGGAGUUGUUUAGAAGCCCCACCAUUAGCCAGUCUCUCUGCUUGAUGCAGCAACCCCUGCUUAAGAUCCUGUGAGCAUUUUGUGUGCUGUACUUCUCCCUGCAAAGUGAAAACACACUGAGAC
rnacentral:lncRNA from 1 species